rnacentral:rRNA from 1 species
AUUGAACGCUGGCGGCAGGCCUAACACAUGCAAGUCGAGCGAGCGGCGGACGGGUGAGUAAUGUAUGGGGACUGCCCGCUAGAGGGGGAUAACUACUGGAAACGGUGGCUAAUACCGCAUACUAUCGGAUAACCCAUAUGGGAUGAGCUAGUAGGUGGGGUAAAGGCUCACCUAGGCGACGCUCUCUAGCUGGUGUGAGAGGAUGAUCAGCCACACUGGAACUGAGACACGGCCCAGACUCCUACGGAGGCAGCAGUGGGGAAGAUUGCACAAUGGGCGCAAGCGUGAUGCAGCCAGGCCGCGUGUAGGAAGAAGGCCUUAGGGUUGUAAAGUACUUUAAGCGGGGAGGCGUUACCCGCAGAAGAAGCACCGGCUAACUCAGUGCCAGCCGCCGCGGUAAUAA